CGUGACAUUUAUGAACGUGCUUGGCCAAAGCAUACAUUGUUUUACAACGGGUUUUUGAAUAUAUCCUUAUGAAAUGUUGUAUUUUGCUAAAACCGCUAUCUCCUUUAAAUGAUGCUAAUCGCAUGAAUUCUUAUGUUUUAUGAAAAUUCUGUUUGACUGAAAAUACUGCUUUGUUUUCCAAGCAUACAUAUUUUGCCAUGAUAAAUUGUGAGAUAAUAUGCAUGUCAGCUUCUCAAACCCUGCAUAAACAUGGUUACCAUUAUGUUCGAUCCGGUAAGAUUAUGUAUGAUUACUUACUGAGCCGUAUAGCUCAUAUCCGUUCAUUUACUUUUUUUUUCAGAUCCUCACCACUGAUAGCUGCCAGAGACACGUUAAUUUGGUAUCAGGGCUUCUUUCUUUUGGGGUAAAGCAAGUAUACUUUUGUGUACAUAAACUACAUAGAAGCUCUGUAUUUGGGUACUGACCAGCAUGUUGUAUUAAGAAUGCUUUCAUAUGAAAAGAUUUGGUUGGUUUGACUACCCUGUUACCCAGGUAUGAGGCUGCGUGCUAUUGUGGGCGGUAGUCGGCAAUAGCACGGCCGUGUCACGGAUCCGGAUCCGGGGCGUGACAUUCUAGUGGUAUCAGAG
rnacentral:lncRNA from 1 species